UACGGAGGGGGCUAGCGUUGUUCGGAAUUACUGGGCGUAAAGAGCGCGUAGGCGGUUUAGUAAGUUGGAAGUGAAAUCCUGGGGCUUAACCUCAGAACUGCUUUCAAAACUACUAAUCUAGAGUGUAGUAGGGGAUGAUGGAAUUCCUAGUGUAGAGGUGAAAUUCGUAGAUAUUAGGGAGAACACCGGUGGCGAAGGCGGUCAUCUGGGCUACAACUGACGCUAAGGCGCGAAAGCGUGGGGAGCAAACAGG
rnacentral:rRNA from 1 species